rnacentral:rRNA from 1 species
AUUGAACGCUAGCGGGAUGCUUUACACAUGCAAGUCGAACGAGUGGCGGACGGGUGAGUAAUAUAUCGGAACGUGCCUAGUAGCGGGGGAUAACUACUCGAAAGGGUGGCUAAUACCGCAUACCAUCGGAGCGGCCGAUAUCGGAUUAGCUAGUUGGUGGGGUAAAGGCUCACCAAGGCGACGAUCCGUAGCUGGUUUGAGAGGACGACCAUCCACACUGGGACUGAGACACGGCCCAGACUCCUACGGGAGGCAGCAGUGGGGAAUUUUGGACAAUGGGGGAAACCCUGAUCCAGCCAUCCCGCGUGUAUGAGAAGGCCUUCGGGUUGUAAAGUACUUUUGGCAGAGAAGCGGUAUCUGCAGAAUAAGCACCGGCUAACUACGUGCCAGCAGCCGCGGUAAUUC